rnacentral:lncRNA from 1 species
CUGGCUUCCACUCCUAAUAGUUCUAAUAACUACCAUCAAUUAUCUUCCUACUACACACGUAUACAAACAUUAUCAUUCUGUAGUUGUCAAAAUUGAUAAUUAUGCUUCAUUGGUCUUCGACUUAUUCUAGCGUGUCUUACACUAGCCAUCCAUUGUAUUAGGCUUUUGAAAAGUCUUCUAACAUUGGGGAUAUCUGAAUAUCAGCAUUG